UGAAGCGGCAACAGCUCAAAUUUGAAAUCUGGCUCUCGGGCCCGAGUUGUAAUUUGUAGAGGAUGCUUUUGGUGAGGUGCCUUCCGAGUUCCCUGGAACGGGACGCCAUACAGGGUGAGAGCCCCGUCUGGUUGGACGCCGAACCUCUGUAGAGCUCCUUCGACGAGUCGAGUAGUUUGGGAAUGCUGCUCUAAAUGGGAGGUAUAUGUCUUCUAAAGCUAAAUACCGGCCAGAGACCGAUAGCGCACAAGUAGAGUGAUCGAAAGAUGAAAAGAACUUUGAAAAGAGAGUUAAAAAGUACGUGAAAUUGUUGAAAGGGAAGCGCUUGUGACCAGACUUGGGCUUGGUUGAUCAUCCGGGGUUCUCCCCGGUGCACUCUUCCGGCCCAGGCCAGCAUCAGUUCGCCCUGGGGGACAAAGGCUUCGGGAACGUGGCUCUCUCCGGGGAGUGUUAUAGCCCGUUGCGUAAUACCCUGUGGCGGACUGAGGUUCGCGCAUUCGCAAGGAUGCUGGCGUAAUGGUCAUCAGUGACCCGUCUUGAAACACGGACCAAGGAGUCGUCUUCGUAUGCGAGUGUUCGGGUGUCAAACCCCUACGCGAAAUGAAAGUGAACGCAGGUGAGAGCUUCGGCGCAUCAUCGACCGAUCCUGAUGUUAUCGGAUGGAUUUGAGUAAGAGCAUACUGGGCCGGACCCGAAAGAAGGUGAACUAUGCCUGUGUAGGGUGAAGCCAAGAGAACUCUGGUGGAGCUCACACCGUUCUGACGUGCAAUCGAUCGUCAACAUGGCAUGGGGGCGAAGACUAAUCUACCU
rnacentral:rRNA from 1 species